GGAUGGUAUACCUCUCUCAAGUGUUCACGGGGGCAGGCAUGGCCGCUCAAUUUGUUUGCGGUUAUUGUCACGCACUACAACACGCUGUGGUACGAGGAUAUCCAAACGAUAUAGAAACAACAUCUUUCGUCUCCACCGUCGUAAUUACAAGUCUUGUGCUUGGAGCUACAAUAACUCCUCCAAUUGCUGGAUACCUUGUGGAAAGGUUUGGAUAUAGGAAUGGGUCGAUGUUCCUUUUCGCAAUUCUUGUACUUUGGACCCCAGUUACAUUCAUUCAGUGGAUGGCAUCGUCCUGCAGCAGGCAACGCAAGCAGCAGUGGGACGUUACGACUGAUUCGCGUACAUGCUGACCACCCACCUCUAUUCUAUAUUGCCUCCAAAGCGGGAGACGGACCUCGCCUCCCCCCACCCCAAACACAAAACAUCUUCUAACCAUUAUGCCACAAUCGCAAGUGCACACUGCUCUCGUGCCAACACUAAUUAGCACUUUAGGUGGCCACUAAGUGUUGAUUAUUAUGAUGGUUAUGAUAAUGAUGAAGUAUGACGAUGGUGAUAAUGAUGA